ensembl:lncRNA
AUAAAUAAAGAAUUUUAAUAUUUAUGUACUUUAAAUAUAUCCAGUAUACAUGAAGUAAACAUAAUUGUACACAAUAACAGGAUAUACUUUCUUUUUCAUACUUGGACUCAUAUUUCAAGUAUGCAGAUCCAUUAUAGCAUCAGAUAUGUCGCAGUGCUUUCUUGGCAAAUGGAAGAUUAUUCAAAUGAACAGCAUAGAAGUUAUCUGGAAGAAUCCCAUCAUGCAGUGCAGUAUAUUGCAGAUAACUUUGGUAUGGUGUCGACCAAAACAAAGCAUGUUAGUUCAUUUACAAAAGCAGAGAAAACAGCAUUUGCAUCUAUGUGGACCAGAAACAUGCAUGUUUCUCCAUAGGUCACUAAAAUGUUCCUAAACGUGACAAACAUAGCAGACAUGAACCCUGCUGCUGCCUCGCUUUGCAUGAUUUUGAAUGAUUCUUGUUUUGUGUCCCGUUUUGUUUAAUAAUUCAUGUAAAAGCAAAAUGUCCAAAUCUGAUAAAAGGUGUUAAUACAACAAAAAAAAAAUCCCCUUUAGCAACAGCGGAUUUGAAGUUUAGCAUCAGGAGCACCGGCUUUCAAUUUUGAGGACAUUAACUUCCCUCUAAAAGGCAUCAAGUGUGUUUUUGUUGUAUGAAAUAGAGGCAAACUGAAGAUUUCAUGCACCAGGAUGUACUGCUCCCAUCACAGAGCCGUGCAAACUGGAUCUAAGCAAGAGGACACAUAUGUACAUGUACAGUCUCCCCACAAAGCAGCACGAUAUGGGCACAUUUAACAAAGCUGCCAGUUCAGGGUCUGUGAAACGCUUGGUUUGUGGUGGGAGCAGCACACACCAAUGCACGAAACGAUGAUCCAGCUUUUGAUUUUAAUGACGUCUUUUUGUUGUUAUAAAUGGAGGCUGUUUAAAGAAGGGAAACUAAUGGCUUCAUACAUCACAAUGUACUGUUCCCUUCCCUGAGGUUCAGUGACUGGAUACUAUUAGAAUGGAAAAGAGAGAGAAGACGUGUACAUGUGAAAAUACAGCGUUUGUAGUUUGAGAACCAGCCCAGUCGGUCUUACGUGCACCUUUUAAUAAAGUAGUACAUGCUGUAUGAUGAUCUGUUAACUCUGCAUUAGGCAACACACUGUAUGUGGAAAACUCAAGUGAUGACUGCUGAAAAUGUACCUGUAAAAUCCUGUCCUGAAGGAUUUCUGACCAUUUUGCUUUAAUCUCAGAUUAAAGCAAAAGUGCUUUUCUUUCAACAACUGGGACGUAGUGUGCUCCUGAGUUCUUUUCCAUUAUUUCAUGUUCCUAAAACCAAAAAUGCAGAUCAAUCAGUGACCUCUGAAGAAACAUGCGCUCUGAACUUUCACAUCUAUACGCCGUUUCCUGUGCAAUUGAGCAGCAGCUGAGGAACAACAACACUGCAGCGUGCAGAUUAAAACCUGUGAUUAUCUCUAAUAAUCAGUAACUCUGUACACAUUAUUACUGUAAACCCAGCCAACAUUAAACUACUGACCACAUCAACAGUUUAGAGUUACAUUCAACAGUCAUUUGUUUAACCCAGCAUUAGCACGGCUCACAGAAGCUUCACCUUUAGUCUGACUCUCCCCCCGUCACAUCACUUUGAACACAUUUAAGUCCUAAAAGAAAAACACACAGGUUGCAGUCAAAUAGUCAGUUUUCCUCAGGAAAGGUAAGCAGCUAAUACCCAUGCCUAAUUUGCAACAAUUAUAUGUAAUUAGGUCAAAUAAAACAGCCACAGGGAAGGUUGCAGUAUACCUCAGUUUGCAUGGAUAUGUUCUCUUUUUGU